rnacentral:rRNA from 1 species
UCGAACGAUGAUGGGAGCUUGCUCCUGGAUUAGUGGCGAACGGGUGAGUAACACGUGAGUAACCUGCCCUUAACUCUGGAUAAGCCUGGGAAACUGGGUCUAAUACCGGAUAUGACUCCUCAUCGCAUGGUGGGGGGUGGAAAGCUUUAUUGUGGUUUUGGAUGGACUCGCGGCCUAUCAGCUUGUUGGUGAGGUAAUGGCUUACCAAGGCGACGACGGGUAGCCGGCCUGAGAGGGUGACCGGCCACACUGGGACUGAGACACGGCCCAGACUCCUACGGGAGGCAGCAGUGGGGAAUAUUGCACAAUGGGCGCAAGCCUGAUGCAGCGACGCCGCGUGAGGGAUGACGGCCUUCGGGUUGUAAACCUCUUUCAGUAGGGAAGAAGCGAAAGUGACGGUACCUGCAGAAGAAGCGCCGGCUAACUACGUGCCAGCAGCCGCGGUAAUACGUAGGGCGCAAGCGUUAUCCGGAAUUAUUGGGCGUAAAGAGCUCGUAGGCGGUUUGUCGCGUCUGCCGUGAAAGUCCGGGGCUCAACUCCGGAUCUGCGGUGGGUACGGGCAGACUAGAGUGAUGUAGGGGAGACUGGAAUUCCUGGUGUAGCGGUGAAAUGCGCAGAUAUCAGGAGGAACACCGAUGGCGAAGGCAG